ACACACACACAUACACAAAUUACACAGCAAUAUAUCAAGAGUAUUAAUUCUUAAUCAAUGCAUUUAAAGUUACAUGAUGUUCCAGUGAGAAAAAUAUCAACCAGGAUUUUUUUUGGAAGAAUACAACUUCCUGAAGUAGAAACCUAUAAAAAUUAUUUUAAUAUUAUAAAAUAUGUGAUAAAGAUAGGAAAGGUUGUUCCUACCAGAUAUUAAAAUGUAUUAUAAAGACAUUCUAAUUUAAAUAAUACAAUAUGUGUUUGGGAAUUGGUAUGCAACUGUGGAACAGAAGAGAAGGUAGAGUUUCAAUCUCAAAUAUAUAUAAUAUUUUAAUAUUGAAAAGUGACAUUUCAAAGACAUUAAAUAUAGGAAGGGGUUAUUUAGAUGACACUAGGUUUAACAAUUCUAUUUUAUUUUACCUUACACCUAAAAAUGACCACUAAUAGUAUAAAUUUAAGUAUUAAACACGAGAUGAUUAACACUUCAUAGCAUCAGUAAAUAAAACAUGGCAAUGGUCGUAACAAGUUCACUUCAUCUAUAGUUCUUACCUGAGCUCAAGUAAGCAAUUAGACUAACAAGGUCACAAUAGGCCUGGCUGGCACCAGUUUACUCAGAAGGAAUUGAACCAGAAAUGCAGUAAGGCAGCAGGGCCUUAUCACAUGUUUCUUUUUUUCACCAUGAGUUUUACAGAAUUCCAUAGAGCAAACAAAGUUCUAUUCUUGCUGAAAAUCCGGUAACAGUUCAAGUAAAAGGAGAUGAAAUAUACACCAGUGAGUGCAAGGUUCAGAAACCAGUUCCUGCUUUACUUUCCUGGGAUACUCAAUAGCUGAGCUUGCUUCCUUCUAGGUCUAGUCAUGUAUUGUUAUAAUUUGACCCUCAAAAGUUGAGGAGAAAUCAAAAAUUAAAAUUAUAAAUCAAUUAUAAGAAUUAAAUAAAAUAUAAAAUUAAAUUAAAAUAGUUGUAAAAAUACUUUAAAAAUGGUUUUAUAUUAAAACUGUUAGAAAAUUCUUUAAUUUUAAAUUUUAGAGAUGUAUUACUUAUUUUGUAGAGAUAUUUUUAAAGUGAAAAUAUCUGCUGAUUAGAAUUUUAUUGGGUUAAGAUUUAAUGAAACACUGUGUGUGUGUGUGUGUGUGUGUGUGUGUGUGUAUUGCUAGUGCUUUAUAACAUCACUAUUAUUUAUUUAUUUAUAUAGCGUUGUGGACACUAUGAGCUGCCCAGCUGCCCCUUAGAGGAAAAAUUUAUUGUUCUAGCUUCUAGGAAUGUUAUUGGCAGGUGGCAUUUAAAUCUCAGCCCCUUCAGGGUUUACCUGAACUGCAGAGAACGAGCCUACCUGACCAAGUACAAGAUCCUUUCCAAGUCAGCCCAGGAGGGAUGACUGACAGAGCAGAGGCAGAAAGGACCAGCCAUUCUGGAGCAGGAUAAGUGUUGAUCCCAAGGGCUCGCAUAGAAAACACGUGCACAUUAAACUCAGUAUCCUAAUCUGCUUGUAGACAAAUGUUACCUGCAACAUCCAGUGGAAGAGAGUAGGAAUUCGGGAAGAUUAAAGUUGCCACCAUUGCAGAGAAAAAUCAUUAUUGAGCCGGGUCUCAAAUUUAUUAUUAUUACCAUUUUCCACAUACUGGUGUCCGAAAAUAAACCUGAAAUAAAUGCUUAAGAAAAAAAAUCAUUUGAGUACUGUCUUUUAUCUAUACACUCAGAGCCAAAUACACUUUUGAAAAUUAAUUUCUUGGAAUAGAGUAGCCUAAAA
rnacentral:lncRNA from 1 species